CACCCUCAACACAAAUUUUGCAUCAGUGUCAAAAUCUAACAAACUCCAAAGCGCCGUAGGUUUCUCCGGGUCUCUCUCACCGUCGGUGCUUCAUUCAGUAAAUGUUGGAUAGUUUGACUCUGGAAGAGUUGGAUUCGAUGCAGCUGCCACUGUUGAUUUAUUUUAGCCUCAUUUUGAUUGUAGUCUCAAAGGAUCAGAACUCAAAAGAUCCAGAAUGGAUUAUUGAUGUCAAACCCAGUAUUGAAGGACCGUCAGGUUCAACCAUCACCGUACAGUGCUCGUUUUCCUACCCAGAGAGGUACCGCUCCAGCGAUGUUCAGGUUUACUGGAAAAAGCGCGGGACAAGCAUCUGCAGUGAGAGUGACAACGACAAAAGGGCGUUCGUUUAUCACCCCAACAGCACAUGUGUGCACGACGAUUACAAAGGAAAGACGGAGCUCACCGGAGAUCAGAACCAAGGGAACUGCUCGCUCAAGAUUCAGAAUGUCAGUAAAAAUGAGCCGAUGAUCUACUUAAGAAUUUCCGUCAGGAAUGAAAACUACAGUUUCUUCAGCAGCCCCGUCUCCAUUUCAGUAACUGGUAAUACAGCAGUGGACACAAGAUAUCCAACAGGUCCAGAAUUUCUCCCAACUGAAUCCAGUGAAGCUGCUGCGACUGGGGAGCCUCCACAGGACUCCAAAAUAAUGUAUAUGGCCACUUUCAUACCAGUUAUUGUGGUCAUUCUUAUAGUUGCUGUCAUUUUAUUCACCGUGAAAUGCAAAAGGUAA
rnacentral:lncRNA from 1 species